ACUGAACCUGUAGGAUUUAAAGCCAUUAAGGCUAUUAACCCUAUGGGUCCUUACAGUUAUCUAUGGCUUGUUACCAAUGUAGGGGUCAGAGAACCCUUCCCCCGGUUACAGUCAGAGGAAUAAUCCGAUUGGCGGGAGCCCCAGUGCACUUCUGGGAGAAAAGGAGGAUCCAGGGAGUACCUGGCUUUGGAGCCGCAACCAAGGGCGGGGCCAGCAGGCUGUAAGAGGGCUCCAGCUCCAGCAAGAACCAGUGUGAUAGAGACUGCACAGGAAAUCAGACAGGCUCCAUCUUCAUCCAGUGUGGAGCUCAGCCAGGAGGAAAGGCCUAGAGCCAAAGCUGUACAGAGAGAGCCCAUCCUGUUCCCUGCCAGGCUGAUAGAGAUCCAGGAGGUGACUGGCAGAGCUGCAUGUGAACUCCAGUGUGUCUGCCUCAGAGCCCCCCAUGAGAGACCCACCAACAGGAGGAUAUUGGCAAGGCUACAAGUGUGGGGCCCCUGUAGUUAAUCUUUGCUGCAAAAGUCUGUGAUUUAUUUCCUAGUGCAGGGGUCUGCAACCUUUUGGGUCGGAAGAGCCAAAAAUUACAUUUUACUAAAUUUCAAAUUUUUAAAGAGCCACAAAAUUUUUUCUUGAUCAAUGAUCAAUAUAUUACUUAAAAACCACUUGUCCACACACGGGCAUAGUGGAACCAAUCAUUACACAUGUCUCAAUUCAAAGAGACAGCUUAAAAAAUAGUAAAAUUGGUGGACAUGUAGAGGGGAGAGAGGGGGAAGGAGAGAGAACAGCAAUCAGGGGAACAAGGACUAUUAAUGACCAUACAUCAAUAAUCCAACUAUCACCUUUAUUCGGUCAUUCAUGGGAAUCAAAUUCCUUAGUGUGGAUGCGCUGUGUAUUAUUUAUGAUAAAUACACUGACUUAAGCUCUCAAAUUAUCCUGUGUUCUCUGCCAGAUAAUAUUGCAAACCAGGCAAAAUCAAUUAAUCAUUUUAGCAAGGUAAAUCGAGGGUUACGUGUAGCGAUCUGGUCACAGCGUCCUCAGCGGCACUCUUAACAUCAAGUAUAUACCAUACAUCAAGUGUGUCAAUAUUACUAUAGAGGCGCUUACUCACAAAUCAGCGCUCCUAAUACCGCGCCGCCACUACCAACUGUGCAUGGUCCGUACCAACGCCCACCCCCUCACUUGCAUUCCGUGUGCAGAGCCUGAGCGCUCCCUUAAAUUGGCCAGCCAACGGCGUCGGAAGCUACGAAUCUUCCGAUGGACUGACGACAGUGACGACGCGUGUCACGGGGGAGGGUGAAAAGCGAGUACAAGUGGCUGAGAGAUAGAGUCGGUGCCUAAUCCUCGUUAAUCAAUUCAGAACGAUUUUUAAAUGUUUUUUUUUUUAUAAAAUAAAUAAUAUUUAUGUAUGGAACUAAAGAGCCGCAUGUGGCUCGCGAGCCGCAGGUUGCAGACCCCUGUCCUAGUGGGACCCCCCCGAGGCAUGCUCCUCACACUGCGCUGUAAUUCCCAGUACCCUUCAUGCAACGGGGACCAGUCUACUGGAUUCCAGAUUUACAGGAGUUACCCUUAUUAGAGAAGGGAAGCAGCGCGGAAAAAUGACCUGAAAGGUUUAGCCGUAAUGUGAACAUGUGACGUGACCGGGCCAAGUGGAAUGUUGCUGUUGUUGUUAGGGGUGGAUAUUGUACUAUUUCUGUGCAGGAUGGCGUGACAAUCCUGUCUGUCCGGGCACGGAAAAUGCUCCUGUGAAUGCACAAUAUGCUCUGUUCUCCUGAUCUUUCCUUAUAGGCACAAGAUGUAUAUUAUACUGUAUGUAGCCACUGGGUAAUGUCAAUGUGUACCUGACAUAUGACCUCUGUGAAGUAGGUCAGCAUUAAAAAUCCACUGUCCCUGGAAAUGAGAGGCAGUUUGGAAAGAUUUGUUAUUUAAAAUGGGCAGUACUAGGCUAGGUUGUUUUGGUGCCCAAGGCAUGAUACCCAGCUAUCCAAACCACCUUUCCACCAACAAUUACUCACCUCUUCCCACGAUUGUAGCUCACCUCCCUCCAUAAUGGUCGUUCAAUCGCCUUCCCCCUGCUGGCGCUUACUCAAUCUGCCCCCUGAGCCUCACCCUAUUGCACCCUAGGCAGCUGCCACUUUUGCCUCCACCUAGUUCCUGCCCUAAAAAAGGAGGGCUGCGUUACCUUAAAUAUCCUGAAAAAUGAAAUACUGUAUCCUUUGAAGACUCAUAUGAUGUGAUACAUCCAGUUGCCAAAUGCUGAAGCCUUUAGAACUGUGGCCCCAAAAUGUGGGGCUGUGUCCUUUGGGUUGUCACCUGGCCGGUAUUUUGGUGGCCCAGCCCAGUAAAAAAUAUUCUCGAUGCCAAUAUUAUUAAUAGGAAAGUAACAUAAAAAUAUAGUAAGGAUGGUAUUUCCGUUGAGAAAAGAUGGCAACACAGAUUUAUAAAAAAUGUGACAUUAAAGCCCACCACAGAAAAAAAUCACCCCCUUUAUUUAUUUCUGUG